UUCUCCUCUUAAUAAAAAAAAAAAUAUUGGUUUUCUACUGAGUAACCGAGCCCCUUCGCUUAAGUAAGUGUUGUGGUUCACGUAAAAAGAUGGGCAAUCUUAAUAAAAAAAAAUCCUUAACAGACUAGGAUAGUCCUACAUAGACCUUUUAGUUACAUGUUAGGACGACGAUCACUAAAACCCGAAUUGCAACCAUUAGAUGAAAAAUUAGAAAAGACUCUUAGGACUAUCCGAGUUAGAAACAUGGCUGCACCUGAUGAGGCUAAUCCUCCACGCUCAUUGAGAGAAUACUUCACUCCAUCCUCGUAUACCUACUCUCCAUGCAUUCAAGCACCUCCA
rnacentral:lncRNA from 1 species